rnacentral:rRNA from 1 species
CGAGUCUAGAGGCCUAGCCUCGGCGUACCGCUCAGUAACACGUGGGUAACCUACCCUAUGCUGGGGGAUAAGCUCGGGAAACUGAGAAUAAUACCCCAUAGUCCACUACGCCUGGAACGGUGAGUGGAUCAAAGCUCCGGCGGCAUAGGAUGGGCCUGCGGCGUAUCAGGUUGUAGGGGGUGUAACGUACCCUCUAGCCAUCCACGCGUACGGGUGUUGGGAGACAUUGCCCGGAGAUGGAUUCUGAGACACGAAUCCAGACCCUACGGGGUGCAGCAGGCGCGAAAACUUGGCAAUGCGAGAAAUCGUGACCAGGGAACUCCAAGUGGCAGGGGUAAGACCCUGUCUUUUUCCGACUCUAAAUAGGUCGGCGAAUAAGGGGUGGGUAAGGACGGUGCCAGCCGCCGCGGUAAUACCGGCGCCUCAAGUGGUAGUCGCUUUUAUUGGGCCUAAAACGUCCGUAGCCGGUCUGGUACAUUCGUGGGUAAAUCAACUCGCUUAACGAGUUGAAUUCUGCGAGGACGGCCAGACUUGGGACCGGGAGAGGUGUGGGGUACUCUCAGGGUAGGGGUAAAAUCCUGUCAUCCUGAGAGGACCACCUGUUGCGAAGGCUCCACACUAGAACGGAUCCGACGGUCAGGGACGAAGCCUAGGGGCACGAACCGGAUUAGAUACCCGGGUAGUCCUAGGUGUAAACGCUGUGGACUUGAUGUUGGGGACGCUCCGAGCGUUCUCAGUGUCGAAGCGAAGGUGAUAAGUCCACUGCCUGGGGAGUACGGUCGCAAGGCUGAAA